rnacentral:rRNA from 1 species
GGCGCAGUCCUGAUGCAGCCAUGCCGCGUGUGUGAAGAAGGCCUUCGGGUUGUAAAGCACUUUCAGUKGGGAGGAAAGGUUAGUKUUUAAUACACKRUAGCUGUGACGUUACCSWCAGAAGAARCACCGGCUAACUYCGUKCCAGCAGCCGCGGUAAUACGGAGGGUGCGAGCSUUAAUYGGAAUUACUGGGCGUAMMGCGWGCGUAGGUGGUUAAUUAAGUCAGAUGUGAAAUCCCAGGGCUCAACCUUGGAACUGCAUUUGAAACUGGUUAAUUAGAGUUUUGUAGAGGGUGGUAGAAUUUCAGGUGUAGCGGUGAAAUGCGUAGAGAUUUGAAGGAAUACCAGUGGCGAAGGCGGCCCCCUGGACUAAGACUGACCCUGAGGCGAGAAAGCGUGGGGAGCAAACCGGAUUAGAUACCCCGGUAGUCCACUCCGUAAACGAUGUGUAUUAGAAGUUUGUGGCUAUAUGCUGUGAGUUCAAAGCUAACGCAUUAAGUAGACC